UACGUAGGGGGCAAGCGUUGUCCGGAUUUAUUGGGCGUAAAGAGCGUGUAGGCGGCCGUACAGGUCAGCUGUGAAAACUCGAGGCUCAACCUCGAGACGUCGGUUGAAACCGUACGGCUAGAGUCCGGAAGAGGAGAGUGGAAUUCCCGGUGUAGCGGUGAAAUGCGCAGAUAUCGGGAAGAACACCCGUGGUGAAGGCGGCUCUCUGGGACGGUACUGACGCUGAGACGCGAAAGCGUGGGGAGCGAACAGG
rnacentral:rRNA from 1 species